UGUGGUUGUCACAGUGGGAACAUGGGUCGCUGGACGUGCCUCACUCUGGAAGGAAGAAAGCUCAGGGUUAUGGUUCUGGCCUCGGCUUUUCCUUCUGUCUCUGCAGCCAUAAUUCUCUGGGACCUCUCUAUCCUCUGUCUCCCAGAGGCCCCUGUGCUGCCUUCCCACAUUCUGGGGUCUCAGGCGCUGACCUUAUAAGGGAUCAGUCUGAAUUGGAUACACCCUGCCGUCGAGGCUUAUCUUCACAAAUAAGAAAUACUUGAAGCCAGGGAUGCCCAGACUGUCCUUUCGUCUUCUCAUACAUUGGUUAUGGCCACAAAGAAGCAGAAAGUCUUGAAAUGACAAAUGUUCCAGAAGAAUGUUUUUCUCCUUUGGAUCUUUUCUUUAAAAAUGUGAAAAAAAAAUGAAGAGCCUGAGUUGGUUGUUGAUCUGUCAUGCACUGAGCACUUCUGUGAAGCAGAGGUGACAAAGCUGAGAAAACCCAUUUCCGCUCCCACUGCUCCCACUGAUACAUGGUUAGUGUGAAUUUCUAGAAAGGAGAGUGACAACGAUGAACUUCCAAGUGGCUCAGAGAGGACCAGCAAGCCUAUUAUCUCUGUGAUCUAACUGACGCCAUGGCUAUACAGAACAGUGGUGUGCCAUGUUUAUGUGAGUGGGACCCUCUACCUAGGCAGAAUGAUGAUUCUUUCAAUUCCUAAGUUGCUAGUUUAAAACAUCCAGUUAUAAAAUGAGAACAUGAGAAAACUGCUAAGUUGUUGGGAUUUCUCCCAUGAUGCUCUCUUUCCUGAUGCUACCACAAUGUGGCAUAGAGUCUCUUCUCCCACCUCUGACCACAGCUUCCUGGAUGUCGUGAUCAUGGAAUUUAGUGUCAGUCUGACUGGAUGGAACAUUAUUUAUAGACGUGAACAUGAGGAAUUUCUAAGAAAACUGGUAUGUGGUUGCCUGGGCUCUGAGGGCAAGGGCCACUCUUAACGUGGGUGGACAUCAUACAGCCAGCGGGAGCUGCAUGGGACGAACAGAAAAAAAAAAUGAGAUUUUCUCUGUGACUCUGCCAGGACAGACACACCCUUCUGUCCUUAGACAUCAGAACUCCAGGUCUACUAGGCUCUAGAAUCUGGGUUGUGGACUUGGGCUGGGUCAUCAGGUCUCUAGCCUCAGACUGAGACUCGUACAAGUGGCUUCCCUGGUCUGUGCCUUUCAGACACAGGCUGAGCCAAACUACCAAAAUUGCAGAGCUUCUUCCCUGAAGAAAGCCUGACAUGGCAAUGCUUAAGCCAGUUCUAAGAGCGGUUGGCCCAGAGGAACUUCACUUAGAUUUCAAAGGGUGCUGCAGUCAACCUCAGGGCCAACACAGAGACUGUCUCAAGAGAAACCCUUCACAGAGUCUCUAAGGGGCAGUGUAGGAGUAUGGCAAUCUAUUGAGACCCAGAAACUACGUGCUGAUCAGUGUCCAUCUGCAGCCUGGAAAAGCUGCAGUCUUGAGACCUCAACUGCGAGAGCAUUGGGUGUUCUCGUGGACAGAGUGCUGCCCUGGACUGGUACUUCUUGCUUAUUUCUCCCUUCUGAAUGGAACUGAGCAUUUUUCUCUUGAACCUCCAUUGGAUUUUGCAAGUGUGAAAACUGCCCAGUGCACAGGCUCAAAGCCAAAGAAUGCUCACUGUAUGAUUCUCACCGAUGUCUGGAAGUGUGUGGAUUGCUGACUUCAUGAGGACCUCUACACGAGAUUUUUCCAAGUCAGAACCCAGUGGUGACUUCCCUGGGCUUGUUAGCAUGGUGUCCUCUAUUGCGUGAGAGAGAGGCUGGUGUUGAUGCGCUGGAGGAGUCAUCUAGAAUAACACUUGUCCAUCCUGGAAGGGUGAUGCCAAUAUGCUGGGAGCCACAGCUUUUAAAAUGAUCCUUUCCCUGGCCCAAGUUACAUCUUCACAUGCAUCUUCUAUAUCUUGUACCAGCAGUGGAUUGUUUGGGUGUUUUCUAUUUAGGGAGCUUUAGCCUUAGUGGAUGACCAUGUUGUAGUGAAGCCUACCUCCUCCCAGGGAUUUUCUGCAUCAGCAACCAUUGGCCUAGUUGGAUCAGAGUCUACCUUGAUGAAAUCCCUAGACAAAGUUGUUUAAAGUUCUUAAUAUCAGAGGGCAACAUCCUAGGCCACUUCCUCCUUUUCCUUCUUCUGCAGAGAGAAAGAAAAAAGUUUUAGGCUUAUAGUUCAUAUCUCAGAAAAGUCUUCUCAACAAGGGUAUGUCCAAAGUGUAGCAGUGCUCUCUGGUUUGAUUUGCUCACACAGAAUCCAUGCUCUUCUGCAUACCCCAAGGACCAUGGAGCAUGGUCACCAUAUCCUUAUUACAUAGCUGUCUUUAGGAACAGUGAAGGCUCAAUAUUUCCAGGACCUCAUUGCAUUUUUGUGUGUUUGUGUCUGCACACAUGUGUGCAUGUAAGUAUGGAGCUCAGUCAUCAACUUUAGGUGUCAGUCUUUAGUCAGUUUUUCUGGGAGAAUCUUUCAUUGGAUUUGAAGCUCACCCCUUUGGUAAUGGUUGCUGGCCAGCACCUACACGGGAUUGGCCUGUCUCGUCCUUCCCAGUGCUGGGAUUACAGGUGUGCACAACUUUCCUGCUUUAUUUUUAUUAUCAUCAUCAUCAUUAUUGAUACUUGGGUUCUGGGCCUACAGUUCAGGUCCUCACGUUGCCUGGAAAGCACAUUAUGGACUGACAGUCGCUCAGGUCUGCACCUUAUCCUUUCCGGAAGUCUUGAACCUUCACUGUAUCUGAUACAACGUUCAUCUAUAGUUCUUCUCUGUAACUUGGUUGAUAUAUGCAUUCUGUACCCCAGGCAAGGCUGACAGGAAACAUUACACUUGCUGACUGGUAGUCUUUGGUGAAUUUGAACCAAAAAUAAAGCCUCCAAUGUUUUUCUGAUGCUCACUUCCAGGGACAUUUAAAAUAGCAUAAAAUAUCAAGUAUUAAACUCCUUUUACUUAGGGGAUGUAUAAUGCAGAACUGUUCAACCCCCUACUGACUAUCAGCACCAACUUACAGAAUUCCUCAGCAAACAGCUAUAAAUUAGUAUGCAGUUGCUGACUGUGUGUAUUCUUGCCUAGCUAGGGAGCAGUGCUGAGCCCUACCUGCUUUUCCACAAGUUGAAACUGUUCCCAACAAGGUGCUGUGCAUACUGCAUACGAUUGGGAAAGUCAUUGACUACAGAUGGGAUAGCCACACUAAAUUUCUUGCUCAUUCCCUGUGAAAUACCUCAUGUUCUGGUGAGAGUGUUCACCGUGGGCAGGUUUCCUGCUGGCAGAAAGUUCAUAGAUGUUUGUCCUGAAGUUGCCUUAUUGCGAUACAUAGGAUGAAUCUAUAAGAAUUGUCCCCAUCAAUUUUUGUGCUUGACUAUUUUGAGGCACUGACCUGUGUGUCACCAAAAUGAAUUAGUCCAUUAAAAGGACAGACUCCAUUGGUGCAGCACAAUCCAGUCACCAGGCACAGGCUGCAUAGCUGACAUACAAUCCUCUCGUCUCUGUCAUCCUUAAACUGAUUUGCCUGCCAGGUGUAGCUCACACUCUGUUGUACUGAUUGAGGAGUGGCUUGAAGGCUCUUGGCUUUAGGAAAAUGAUUUUCCCAGUCUGAGAUACAGCACAGAAAUGGCAAAUGAGAACAGUUCUAAUGUCAGAAAAGAAGGAAGGAAGGGUGGGAGAGACAGCAGUGUCCUAUGCGCACGGAGCCCCCUGCCCUGCCAUUCUGCCUGUCUGUGCUGAACUGGAGAGGCAACACCAGCUCCUUUCUCCUACCCAGUGCUCAGGCCCUGAGGCUUUUGUCUCAGCAGCUCUGUGCUGCCCUGGAGACUUUAGGUCAGCCCCAGAGACAGGGAAGCCCCACACCGAGGAUGCUCUUUCUUGUCCCAGUGCUGACCGAUGUCUGAUAUUUGGUGUGCUUCCUCGUUUUCUCCACAAGGAGUCCAAAGGAACUCCAGAGUGAGUAAGAUGUACAGAAAUGUGCAGACAUCCACAUGAGGCCCUGAGGGGACGUGGCCUCUGCAAUUCAGGGUUCUGGGGGUGCCUGGGGUGAGAAGAGGCACACCCUGAAAGCCCUUGUCUACCUCCGUCUCCAUGCUGGAGAGAGAGAGAAACCUACCUUUUCAAAACCAGGCACUCAAAAGCAAACCUCAGCUAUCUUAGUGAUCCAGUCCGUCAAUCAGCACUUGGGAGGCUGUGGAUGGUGUUAGUGAACCACUAGAAGUUAGAGGAAACAGCCCUUCUCUUCUUCAAACCUGACAAUGAGGACUUUGGUUCUUUUCCUGCACUGUGACUGUGACUCAGUCACAGUGGAUCUCUGCUUAUACCAUAUUUUAGGGCAUUAGGUCAAAGGCAGGACAACACUUCAGCACAGGCCAUGUCAAGAGACUCAGGUUUGUCAGAGCGAGGGACAUGGCACCACUGUCACCUAGUCAGAUGCUUCACCCAGGGGCGCUGCUAACCUUAACGUUUGGAUCGGGCACAGAACCAAAAAGUCUUUCCUUCUUUGUCAGAACUGUGCCUGAGAAAGACUGAUAAGAAACUUGGCGUGUCGUGACUGAUGUACUGAUAAGAAACUCGGUGUGAUAUGACUGAUGUGCAUGUGUCUGUCUGGGAGGACACUCAUGGGGCUGGUGAGAGUCCUUGUCUUUGGGGGAGAGGAGUAGAGAGGGAGAUCUAGUAUGAUCUCAAGAGACUGAGUUCUGUAAGUCUAAAUGGAAAACCAAAAAGAACCCAUGCUCUAGAAUGGAGCCUGAAAUAGAA